GAGGAGUGGGUCCGGAAGCGGCGCCGGAGCGGGUCCGGAAGCGGGCGGUGGAGAAGUCCAGUUGCCCCAAAAUUCUUAGGCAGCAGAAGAGUGACAAGUGAAAAAAGUUCCUAGCGGGAGACGUGCUUGGAACCGGAGAUAAUCUGUGUCUACCGCUGGUCUUCAAGGUGCUUAAUUUCGUGCCCGCUCUACAGGAAAUAACGUGCGCGGCGGAGGAGCCCUGUCCUGGAGAAUAACGCGUGAAGAAGACAGUGGACUGGGCAUUUCGUCCAGAUGAAUGAGCAUGGUAGUUAAGUGUAGAAGGUGACCUUCUUCCCUCUGGAGA
rnacentral:lncRNA from 10 species